GAAGCUAUCAGUAAGCUUGGUGGGAGCGAAAAAGCUACACCAAAGGGAGUCUUGAAGCUCAUGAAUGUUGAAGGCCUAACCAUCUAUCAUGUCAAAAGCCACUUACAGAAAUAUAGAACUGCCAGAUACAAACCAGAAUCCUCGGAAGGAACACCGGAAAAGAAGACCACCAGUGUGACAGAGAUGCCAUCUUUGGACCUGAUAACGACCAUGGGGAUAACAGAAGCACUAAGAAUGCAGAUGGAAGUCCAAAAGCAGCUUCACGAACAACUUGAGAUCCAGAGAAAGUUGCAGUUGCGGAUCGAAGAACAAGGUAAAUACCUUGAAAUGAUGUUUGAGAAGACAAAGGACAUAGGAAAAGAUCUAAAGGUAUCAUCAUCAUCAAGAACAGAUGAACAUCCUUCACCAUCCAAUAAGAUGAAGCAUACAUCUCCCAACGACUAAUCAGAAGCACUCGAGAAAGAUCGUUUGUGGAACUCACCAGACAAAAAAGCUCAUGAAGAUCAUGACUCAGAUGAUAGAGACUUGUGUUGUUCACCUACAUCGAAA
rnacentral:misc_RNA from 1 species